rnacentral:rRNA from 1 species
UACAGAGGUGGCAAGCGUUGUUCGGAAUUACUGGGCGUAAAGGGCGCGUAGGCGGUUCGUUAAGUCCUGUGUGAAAUCCCCCGGCUCAACUGGGGAACUGCACAGGAAACUAGCGGGCUUGAGUUCGGGAGAGGGAAGCGGAAUUCCGGGUGUAGCGGUGAGAUGCGUAGAUAUCCGGAGGAACACCGGUGGCGAAGGCGGCUUCCUGGACCGACACUGACGCUGAGGCGCGAAAGCUAGGGGAGCAAACGGG